AGGAGGAGCCGCGGCCCGGGCGACAGCGCCCGAGUUCCCCGUAGGGCCCGCCCGGGAGCGGGCGGCGGUGGAGGAGGACGCCGAGGCCAGGAUGGCGGCGUCGGCCCUGUACGCCUGCACCAAGUGCACGCAGCGCUACCCGUUCGAGGAGCUCUCCCAGGGCCAGCAGCUCUGCAAGGAAUGUCGGAUUGCACAUCCUAUUGUAAAAUGUACUUACUGCAGAUCAGAAUUCCAACAAGAGAGCAAAACUAACACAAUUUGUAAGAAGUGUGCUCAAAAUGUCAAGCAGUUUGGGACACCCAAGCCUUGUCAGUACUGUAACAUAAUUGCAGCAUUUAUUGGUACCAAGUGUCAGCGCUGCACAAAUUCAGAAAAAAAGUAUGGACCACCUCAGACCUGUGAACAGUGCAAACAGCAGUGUGCUUUUGAUCGGAAGGAGGAGGGGAGAAGAAAGGUUGAUGGAAAGUUGUUGUGCUGGCUCUGUACUUUGUCGUACAAGAGAGUUUUACAGAAGACAAAAGAACAGAGGAAGAGCUUGGGAUCUUCACAUUCAAAUUCCUCAUCUUCAUCUCUUACUGAGAAAGACCAGCAUCAUGCAAAACACCAUCACCACCACCACCAUCACCACCAUCGUCACAGCAGUAGCCAUCACAAAAUCAGCAAUCUAAGCCCAGAACAAGAGCAGGGACUAUGGAAACAGAGCCAUAAAUCCUCUGCAGCAAUUCAGAAUGAAACUCCAAAGAAAAAGCCCAAAUUGGAAUCUAAGCCAUCUAAUGGAGAUAGUAGCUCUAUAAAUCAGUCAGCAGAUAGUGGGGGAACAGACAAUUUUGUCCUUAUCAGUCAGCUGAAAGAAGAAGUGAUGUCACUUAAGCGUCUCUUACAGCAGAGGGACCAGACCAUUUUAGAGAAAGAUAAGAAGUUAACAGAACUAAAGGCAGACUUUCAGUACCAAGAGUCAAAUUUGAGAACAAAGAUGAACAGUAUGGAAAAAGCUCACAAAGAAACCGUGGAACAACUUCAGGCCAAAAACAGAGAACUACUCAAACAGGUUGCAGCACUGUCAAAGGGUAAAAAGUUUGACAAAAGCGGGAGCUUGCUAACAUCUCCUUGAAAAGGUUCCGUGUCCGGUUUGUGCUCACAGUGUAAAUUGGGGGAGUUCUGUGUGGUGGAAAAUAUUUUUGCACACCAAAUGAAUUGGCGUGUUUACUAUUCACUUUUGUAACUGAUAUACAACAUUUUUUAAGUUGUGAAAACAUUCAAAUAAAACUUCAACUGGUUUGAAGUAACUUUUUAAUUAACGAUACCCAGCAACUUUUUGCCAGCAAUAGUAUUAAGCCGUUGUGAGGGAGUGCGUGAGCAGUGCUCUUUAUAAAGCAACUUGCAAUAAUAGGGAGGCGUGGCUAUAAGUCAGAGCAGCAGGGCUUUUGCUUUUGUUUUUGUUUAACACUAUGCUAAUUUCAGAAGAUAGUUUUCAAUUUAGAAAUAAAAAGCUUUUAAAUAAGGAAAAUGGUGAACACUGGUUUUGGGGAAUUGUAUUUUUACUUUGCAUCAACAUGAAUUCAGGAGAGAAUCACGGUGCUUUUAUUAAAAGGACUUCAGAGUAUCUGUGUAUAUGUUUUUACAGGCUCCUUCAUUAACAUUAGCACCCAGCAUUUUCAUUAUUGGCAUAGAAAGUAAUGUUUAUUGUACAGUAUCCGAGGCAAAAGGUGUUUCGUUUUGUAAAAACUACUGUAGAUUUUUACUUACAAGUGCCUUUUCCACCUAAUGUUUUUAUUUAUAGGAAUGCUGAUCUUUUGUACAUAGUUUGUUUUAAAAUCAUGUUUAAUAAAUGUUUGUAUAUAAAUGCAUAUGUACAAAAGCCUAUUUCAAAAAGAAAUCAAAGUUGCUGGUAACAGUUUGAGGUUACGUAUUAAGAACUGACUGAUACUGCAUAGAGACUUGAGGUGAUUUUGUGCUUAUUUCUGUGUAAUAAGGGAGGCUGUUAUUGAACUCACUUAAUUAUGCUGAAAUACUGCCUAAAGAUUUAAUUUUGACUCAUUUCUGAUAGAGUAAAUUUAUUUUUUGUUAUACGGCUUCAUGUUCAUAUUUUGUGAGUUACAUGUUUUACUUUAUUUUUUAUAUAAAUUUUCUUUAAAAUGUAUGCUUCUACAAUGGUUCAUAUAUCUGCUUUCCCUAUAAUGUUGGUUAUCUAAGUUAAUAUUUAUGUAUACCAUACUUAAUUUGUAAAUUUAAUGCAAAUUUGGAAGAAAUGACUUUUUAUAAUCUAAUCUGCUUAUCUUUGAGUGAGUUGGAAUCUACUGUGAGAUUCAGGCACUAUUUAUAAGUAAAUUGUCUCAGAGUCUUUACAAUUGUCUAUAAAGCUUAAGAGAGAGUGGGAUAGAGUUUGUUAAGUUACUGGUUCUAUUCUCAUCUAAUGCUCUUCAGAUGGAAUGGAAGUUGAUCUCCUACUUAAGGUCAGUGCAGACUUAGUUCAACUGUAAAGCCUCAGUCAUUGUUAGAUAUAUUGUAUAGAGUGGAAGAGUUCUUUACCUUAGGAGUUUAUGGACAGAGAUCAAUUUGUUUCAAGUAAACAGUUAAGUUGAUCAGUUUUGAAGGUUUUGGUUUUAGACAAAUUGGAUUAUGAAUUUCACAUCAAACAUCAGCUUUCUUAAAAACAUGGUGAUUAUAACCAUUCUUUUUAACAUGAUUCAUGUUUCAGUAAACUAUUCCUAUAGUUGUUUAUAACAAGUGGUAAUCUGUCCAAUUUGGAAACAUAUAAUCUAGUUGAUUUUCAAGUAAUAGUAAGAUUGAAUCAGUCAGAUUUGGAAAAAUUGUACCAACUUAUUUUUAUGAAAUCUUCAGACAACUAAUCUUAAAUUUAUUACUCUCAACCAUGGUAGAAAUGCCUUAACAUGGAUUUUAAUGUUUGCAGAAUUUGUUAAAUUCAUAAGAUAGUCAUUAUCUUUCUUUAAGAUUUGUAAUGUUUUGUAUUCUGGUUUCAUACCUGUUUGCCAACCCACAGUGGUCAUUAUGGUUCUAAGAUAAAAUACAAUAGUUCAUGUAUCUUGUUGGAGAUGCUGCAAAAGAAAAUUGCCUCUCCCCUUUAGUGAACAGUAAGAUUGAAAAAUCAGUUUAAAUAAUUAAGCUUUGUAAAUUCCAAGGUUAAAACCCUUUUAGGGACUUCAUGGUAUUUAGUCCUAAGUAAGUACCCAAUCUUUAUUCCAUGACCUUAUUUUAUAACGUAAAUCUUUACAACUGUAUAAAUAGUAAUUGAGUCCCAGUACUGGAUCUGUAGUGUAUUGACAUAAUGAGCCGAUACUCUGUAAACGUGACCUGUAAGGAGAUUGGAUGUGUGCCGUUUUGUGCUUUUAGCCUGUUUCCUGCAAUUGAUUAGCAUUUCCCAGUGAGGGUCAUUUUGGCUCAAGUUAUUUAUGUAUUAAUAGUCCUUUUUAGAUUGUAUUGGUCUACAUAUGCAUUCUGCCGUGAACCUGUGUAUAGACCAUUGAAAUACUGUACUUGUACACAUCUGACUGUUGACAUUUUGUACUUUUUCUAAAUCCAAUAUUUCACAAUAAAAACCUGUCAGUUGCUUUGUAUUCAUUGCCUAUUUCUGUUGCACCACUUAGUAGCUUAAAACAACAAAAAAUUAUUUAACAGUCUUGGAGGCCAAAAGUCUAAAACUGGCCAGAACAAGGGCUGUCCUUGUGGAGGUUCUAAGGGAGAAUCCAACUUCUGGAGUGGUGUUCCUUGCAUUCUGUUACUUUGCUGACCCUUCUUGUGUCUUCAGAGCCAUAAGUGUGGCAUCUUUAAGUCUCUGCUUCCAUCAUCUUUCUUUUGCCUUACUGUCUGCCUGUCUUCCCUGUAAUAAGGACCAUCAUUGGGUCCACCUGGAUGAAUGGGAUGACUUCUGCAUCUUAUCCUUAGUCACAUCUGCAAAGUCCUGAAGCUCCUAUAGUCUCAGACUCAAAGCGGCGUCAAUUAGACGUCUUUGGGGCCACUAUGGAGACUUCUGUAAGCGUCAUUGUUUUUCCUGUUUUCUCAGCAUGAAGUCCUAAAACAAAAGACGACAGGUGCAGGCCAAACAUUAUAAUUUUCCUACCCAUUCAGUCUGCUUUGGUACAAUAGUUUCUUCUGGGGAAAGGGAGGGGUGUGUAAACUUUUUAUUUAUGCUUUCAAAGCAACAAUAAAGCAAACCAAGAUAUAUAUGUAGUUCCACACUUUGAGAAUGAGUGCUGUAAGAAAAGGCAUGAGGUAGGGAAAGAAUAGGUUUAGGAAAAACAAGAGGGAGACAUUGUAGGAGGGACUGGGCAUGAACUUGGAGAGGUUUUCUGGAGCCCCACUGUAAAUGUAGUUUGGGUAGAGACCACCAGAUUUGUGAAGAGGAAGUGACCUAAGAGCAGAUAAGGACAGAAACCAGGAAUCAUUUUCUCUAAGUCUUGAUUUUACAGAGGAAACAACAGGUAAGCAUAAGUGACUUAGGUGUUGACUUUCCUUAAUGUCCUUCUGUCUUCCAAAAACAGUUCAAGAUAGCUUGGCUUAAGUGUCUUGUAGGUGGCAGAUUUGCUGCACAAAGUGACCAUUUUUAAAGGAGGUAUAUACACAGCCAUGUCGGGCAUAGCUAAGAAGUUGAGAACAAGUCGGUUGUCAUAAGCUUCUAGGCAGAGAAGAAUUUCAGUUCUUAACAAUGUGUUGGAUAAUUUUAAAAGGCUGUAAUUUUUUUCAUGUUUAGACCUGCUGUCCCUGUCCUUGAAAUGUGUGAUGCCAGUCACUUCUCAAGAAAACUGUAAUCUGAGAAAUACCAUUAGAGGAUUAGAGAAUGAAUUUUUCCCCAAAAGAUCUAAGACUUGCUUUUAAGAUAAAGACCACCAACCACAGGAAAUGACCAAAGAAGUAAAUAGACAGUUUGUAGGAAAAGUAAAACAAAUGGUUCUUAAUCAAAUGAGAAAAGUGAAAAUUAAAGGUUUGUGAAGUUGCCACUUCUCACCGAGAGGCUGACAGAAUCCCAAGUUGGAAACAGACACUCAAGUAUCAAGGAUGGUCACAGCAAAAUUAUCCCAAUAGAGCUGAAUAAUACUCCAUUGUGUAUAUGUACCACGUUUUGUUUAUCCAUCCUGAGGCACCUAGCCUGAUUCCACAGCUUGGCUAUUGUGAAUGAUGCUGCUGCAAACAUGAAUGUACAGGUACCUCUACUGUAUGCUGGACAUUGCUUCAUAUGUAUGCCUACAAGUGUUAAUAGCAAAGUCAUAAAGUAGUUUUGUUUUAAUUUUCAUGGAACUUCGUAUUCAUUUCCGUUUUGGCUGUACUAAUUUACAUUUCAAUCAACAGUAUAUAAAGAUU